CCCUAUGGACGGUAUGAUAAAAAGUAUUGCGCAGGGGGAGCCGUGACGCACUUUGUGGCCGCCCUUCUGGAGAUCCCUCCUUUAUGGAAUCUUUAGGGAAAAGUGCCCCGUGACCUCCCCAUCCCCCCACUCCUCAGAAGACUCACUGGACAGCGACAAGGAGUGGGCCACGACGCAGGAGGAGGAGAUGGCCGACUAGCCAAGGUCAUCAAACGAGUAGCCAAGGUCAUCAAGGGACCAAGGCAUUAGGAGGAAAAAGAAAAGGCGAAGACAGCAAAACCGACAAGCCAGCCAGAGGAUCAGUCAGACGAGGAAGCCUCUGGAGAAGGAACAGGGUGGAAGAUUCUACGUGUACCCUGGUACACCGAGGCGGAAAACUGUGUCCUAGUGGAUGGCAUCGACCAGUCCUACGACGUUCUGUAUGGACCAAAGGCACAGACAACAGUAGGCAAAGGCAAAGAGAAAGAUCUGCGAGGCCAUCACGGAUCAAGUCACUGCAAUAUCUGGAAACCGUUAGGACACCAGAAACUGCAUGAAGCGUUACAGUGACUGCCAUAGACAGACCAAGAAAAAGAUGGGGAUUCAGCGCAGACACGAGACAACAACCGGAGGUGGUCCGGCUUUGAAUUUCAAGUGGCUGCCCUGGGAGGAAGUCAUCAAAAGGUGCAUGAACCCUGUCAUGAUCCAAGGAGUUCCAGGCAGUGUGGACUCCACCCGCCCUGCUGGCUUUCCCGAGGAGGAAGAACCACCCAGAAGACGGAAGACGGUGGGAGCCCAGCAGUCCAAAAGGAGGCGUGAUGACAAGCCUGCCCGGAGGACGUCACCUGCACGCAGGACAUCACCAGAGCGCAGACCAUCACCUGCACGCUGGACAUCACCAGCGCGCUGGACAUCACCUGCGCACAGAGCAUCACCAGCACGCCAGACUUCACCAGCGCGCAGACAAUCACCUGCGUACCAAACAUCAUCAGCACGCAGAUCAUCACCUGCACACCAAACAUCAUCAGCAUGCAGAUCGUCACCUGAGCACCAAACGUCAUCAGUACUCAGAUCUUCACCUGCGCGCAGGGCAUCACCAGCUCGGGACCAAUCCUCCAGGAGCUCAGAGACUGUGGGGGUCAUUCCGAGUUGAUCGCUAGCUGCAUUCGUUCGCUGUGCGGCGAUGAGGCAAACAAAAACAGCACUUCUGCGCAUGCGUAUGCAUGAAGUAAUAUUAUAACAAACAAUGUAGUUUCACACAGGGUCUAGCGAUGCUUUCCAGUCACACUGGCUGGCCACAGAGUAAUUGACAUAAAGGGGGCGUUUCUGGGUGUCAACUGACCGUUUUCAGGGAGUGUUCGAAAAUAUGCAGGCAUGCCAGGAAAAAUGCAGGCAUGCCUGGCUGAACGCAGGGCGUGUUUGUGACGUCAAAACAGGAACUGAAUAGUCUGAAGUCAUCGCAAGCGCUGAGUAGGUCUGAAGCUACUCUAAAACUACACAAAAAAUGUUUUCCGCCGCUCUGCGAUCCUUUCGUUCGCACUUCUGCUAAGAUAAAAUACACUCCCAGUGGGAGGCGGCAUAGCAUUUGCACGGCUGCUAAAAACUGCUAGCGAGCUAACAACUCGGAAUGACCCCCUGUGUCACAAGAGCCUCAAGAAAGUGUGACUGUUUAUACUGUGGACCCAUCACCCGACCUGUUAGAGUCCUCAGGAUUCACGUACGAGACUUUUAAAGGGUUUGAUACCAGCCUUGCCGACGCGUCAAUCCCAAGCCAAGAAUUGUCUCAAGAUUUGAGGUCCGGAGAAGCUCCUAGAGCAUCGGCAUCACAGAGGUGCCACAGACCAGCAUCGGAUUCGCGUCAAGGAUCGGUCCCUACUUCAGGCCGGAUCUGUUACAGGAAGAGUUGGACAACAAGGUGGAUGCGCAGCAGCCCCCAGUUUCUACACCCCUGUCUGCACAAGUGCAAUUGGUGAGAGACAUUCAGCAAGGGCAGGCACCCUCAAGAGUUCAAAGAGUAGUCAACCUGGCAUCAGAGAUUCAGCAGCGCCAGGACAGUUUUCGGGAUGUCGUCAACACCAGACUGGAGGCCAUUGAGAAGACAAUGUAGAAGAUGGCCUAUAGUAUGGUUGCAAUGCAGAAGAACAUGGCUGAAAUGUCGAAGACCAGGCACAAAGAACACAUGGCGAUUCUGGACGUCCUCAACGUUAUGGCGACAUCCAUGAAAGAGCUGGUGGAGAACACAGCAAGUGAGUCACAAAGCUUCCAGAACAUGUUGGAGAGUCAGCGACAGACAGCUUCCAACUCACAGCUCAUCACAAUGGUUCUCCAGUUGAUCUACGACAAACUCCCAGGGACAGGUCAACAACAUGUCGUUCAAUCACCACCUUGCUUCAUCACAACCCUGGUACGGACAGUCACAGCAGUACUCCGUCUACCAGAUGCCUACAUCACCAUUGUGGACACCAGCCUCAACAGCAACACCAGCACGCCCAUCAAGGCCUAUGCAACGCACUCUAUAGCCACCAAGGACACAGUCGCCCCCUCCAGAGGAAGAGGAUCAGGACUGCCCCCACACACAAUGGCGCUGUCGUAUUUUUCCAUAAUUUAAAAUGUUAUUUUUCUGUGCUUCCCUUUUUCUCCUCCCAUUAGUUUGUUUCUUUCUUUGUAUUGUUAUUUAUAUGUAUUUCCCUCCCACACCACCUUAGCUGGUACUACCAAGGAGCUAUAUGUAGCCAUACAUGCACAUACAUAUAUGAUUUUGAAGGAUGAAAGCUCCUUUUGGUUACAUAUAUGAUGGGCCAAAAAGCAAUAAUCUGACACCACAUUUAUGUUUUAAGAAAUACUCCUCUGUAAACAUUGUGUAACUUGAACAUUCUCUUUUGUGUAACUUGAGCAUUCACAUAUUUUUUUAAUUCUUUAGGGAUGGUUGACAAAGAGGCGUGGACAGCAUUGUUCUAGUUGACUUUACAAUGAUAUCUACACAAGAACAAGGAAUGUAUGAAGAAGAACAAACAUUUCUUUCUUUUAAUACAAAAAUUUAUGAACAAUAAAAAAUACAAC